UCCACAACUUGAAUGUGACCCAGAGGAAA
rnacentral:piRNA from 1 species